UGGCGUAGUGACUUUUCGAACACGUGGAAAAACCACGUAUCACGAACCACCUUUGCAGGCUGGGUUUUGUUCGAAAUGGGGUUUUGCCAAUCCCCACCCCAAGGGGGGAGAAGGGCGCAGCGGGGUUUGCGAGGCCUCUCCCAGGCGCACACCCUGUGGAAAGCCGGGCGCCUGGCCGGGGUGCACCUGUACCCAUUUUUACCGGUGGGUGUCCGGCGGUGGGUUUCAAACGAACCACCUCCCGCAGCCGAGUCGGACGCCCUAACCGUUAGACCACGGCUGCGCAAGAGCACACGUCUG
rnacentral:lncRNA from 1 species